rnacentral:rRNA from 1 species
UACGUAGGGUCCGAGCGUUGUCCGGAAUUACUGGGCGUAAAGAGCUCGUAGGUGGUUUGUCACGUUGUUCGUGAAAACCCACAGCUCAACUGUGGGCGUGCGAGCGAUACGGGCAGACUAGAGUACUGCAGGGGAGACUGGAAUUCCUGGUGUAGCGGUGGAAUGCGCAGAUAUCAGGAGGAACACCGAUGGCGAAGGCAGCUCGCUGGGACGGUACUGACGCUGAGGAGCGAAAGCGUGGGUAGCAAACAGG